rnacentral:rRNA from 1 species
UACGUAGGGUGCGAGCGUUAAUCGGAAUUACUGGGCGUAAAGCGUGCGCAGGCGGUGAUGUAAGACAGGUGUGAAAUCCCCGGGCUUAACCUGGGAACUGCAUUUGUGACUGCAUAGCUAGAGUACGGGUAGAGGGGGAUGGAAUUCCGCGUGUAGCAGUGAAAUGCGUAGAUAUGCGGAGGAACACCGAUGGCGAAGGCAAUCCCCUGGACCUGUACUGACGCUCAUGCACGAAAGCGUGGGGAGCAACAGG